GGGAGUGUGGUCUCCGUUACAGCGAGAACCAUUAGAGCACCUUUAACGCGGUCUCUACACCGCGUCUUUAAUGUAUUUAGGUUUAAAAAUAAAUAAAAAUUGUGUAAAUACACUAUAUACGUCGCUUAAUUAGGAGGCAGAAGAAACGGGUUCCAGCGACACGCGUCACACAUUCACCCUUUCUUUCUCUCUCUCGACGGUCGAUCUUCUCUCCUCUCUCGUGACUCCUCGAGGACACUGAUCGAUUCUCUCUGGUGAUCUCUCCUCGACGGAAUCUCUCGACAACAGAAUCACCCGGCGUCUCUCUCGGUGGAAUCGUCGUCUCUAUCGGUCUCCUCGACGACUCUGCUUCUCUCUCGGUCUCCUCGUCUCUCUCGCUAUCUCUCUAUCAAAUCAAAAGGAAAGCUAUGUAUUUGUCCUUUUAUGUUUGAAUCCUUCUUUGUUAUUUUGAUUUGUUGUUGUGUUGCAUGCGUGUCUUUGUGUUCGUUUAUGUCUCUGUAUUUGAUUUUGUCUCUUGCGUUUCCUUUUCAAAUGGACGGAUCCAAAAGGCAGGAAGGUUGUUCAAAGAAGACGACGAUUCCAAUACAGAUUAUCAAUAUUAAACUAAAGAUUCAGAAAAUACAACAUUCUCCCAAGCCAAUAAGAAGACGAGAAAGGGAGAAGGCUAGAGAGCUUAAGCCACUUGCAGAAACAGAGCAAAUACAAACAACCAUGUUCGUAAAGAAGGAACAAAAGUUACAACAACCGUGUAGAGGGAGAGGUUAUCUCACUGUCGAAGAUGUGCAUAAGCCAUUUCGGACUUCCAGUUGCCACAUAAGAUCGAGUUCUCAAUCCUUUGGUCACACUUGUAGCAAUGAGAUCAGCCCCUCUAUUGGUUGUUCUUUCUUCUUUUUGGAACCUCCACCAAAUCAGGCCUUGUAGAGCUUCCAACAACUGUAGACCUUGAGGCUUGAAAGAAGGCCAGCGUCUCGGUGUAGUGAUCACAUCUAUCACACAAGAGACAUUCAAUGUAAAGAUAAUUCUGUGCCUUCGGUGCUCACAUCUGUAUUUUUGGUUUAAAUCUAUGUUUAAAAUGUUAAUUGUUAAUUUUAAGUUUAAUAAUUUUUUUUA